UACGUAGGGUGCGAGCGUUAAUCGGAAUUACUGGGCGUAAAGCGUGCGCAGGCGGUUUUGCAAGCCGGAUGUGAAAUCCCCGGGCUUAACCUGGGAAUGGCAUUUGGGACUGCAAGGCUGGAGUGCGGCAGAGGAGACUGGAAUUCCUGGUGUAGCAGUGAAAUGCGUAGAUAUCAGGAGGAACACCGAUGGCGAAGGCAGGUCUCUGGGCUGACACUGACGCUCAUGCACGAAAGCGUAGGGAGCAAACAGG
rnacentral:rRNA from 1 species